UUACACNUGAGAAUCUCCUGAAUGGGCUUGUGUUUCCUGUACUAUUCUCAUUACCAGCUUCAAUGAAUAAUAAUGGCUCAGAUUUAUCUGCUAUCACUUCACUAUAUAUCUUAUCGCGUCUUCUUCAAGUCGUUGGGGGAAGAAGCAUGAUUAACAACGUGGCUGGUGUUAUCCUGUAUCAUUUUUUAAACUUAAAUGCGAGAACUCUGACCGAAGGGAACGCUUCUGAUAUGUCUAAUGAAGUUAAACCAUUUUCUAAGUGCC